rnacentral:rRNA from 1 species
UGUGACUGCGUACCUUUUGUAUAAUGGGUCAGCGACUUAUAUUCAGUGGCAAGGUUAACCAUCUAGGGGAGCCGUAGGGAAACCGAGUCUUAACUGGGCGUUCAGUCUCUGGAUAUAGACCCGAAACCAGGUGAUCUAGCCAUGGGCAGGUUGAAGGUUGAGUAACAUCAACUGGAGGACCGAACCGACUAAUGUUGAAAAAUUAGCGGAUGACUUGUGGCUAG